CCCCUCUCUUUAAAUAAGCGGAGGAAAAGAACCAACAGGGAUUGCCCUAGUAACGGCGAGUGAAGCGGCAACAGCUCAAAUUUGAAAUCUGGCGUCUUUGGCGUCCGAGUUGUAAUUUGCAGAGGGCGCUUUGGCAUUGGCAGCGGUCCAAGUUCCUUGGAACAGGACGUCACAGAGGGUGAGAAUCCCGUACGUGGUCGCUAGCCUUUACCGUGUAAAGCCCCUUCGACGAGUCGAGUUGUUUGGGAAUGCAGCUCUAAAUGGGAGGUAAAUUUCUUCUAAAGCUAAAUACUGGCCAGAGACCGAUAGCGCACAAGUAGAGUGAUCGAAAGAUGAAAAGCACUUUGGAAAGAGAGUUAAAAAGCACGUGAAAUUGUUGAAAGGGAAGCGCUUGCAGCCAGACUUGCCUGUAGUUGCUCAUCCGGGUUUCUACCCGGUGCACUCUUCUAUAGGCAGGCCAGCAUCAGUUUGGGCGGUUGGAUAAAGGUCUCUGUCAUGUACCUCCUUUCGGGGAGAACUUAUAGGGGAGACGACAUGCAACCAGCCCGGACUGAGGUCCGCGCAUCUGCUAGGAUGCUGGCGUAAUGGCUGUAAGCGGCCCGUCUUGAAACACGGACCAAGGAGUCUAACAUCUAUGCGAGUGUUUGGGUGUCAAGCCCGAGCGCGUAAUGAAAGUGAACGGAGGUGGGAACCUUUCGGGGUGCACCAUCGACCGAUCCUGAUGUCUUCGGAUGGAUUUGAGUAAGAGCAUAGCUGUUGGGACCCGAAAGAUGGUGAACUAUGCUUGAAUAGGGUGAAGCCAGAGGAAACUCUGGUGGAGGCUCGCAGCGGUUCUGACGUGCAAAUCGAUCGUCAAAUUUGGGCAUAGGGGCGAAAGACUAAUCGAACUAUCUAGUA
rnacentral:rRNA from 1 species